rnacentral:rRNA from 1 species
ACUCAAAUGAAUAGACGGGGGCCCGCACAAGCAGCGGAGCGUGUGGUUUAAUUCGAUGCAACGCGCAGAACCUUACCUCGACUUGACAUGCACGUGGUACUGAUCCGAAAGGUGAGGGACCCGCGAGGGAGCGUGCACAGAUGCUGCAUGGCUGUCGUCAGCUCGUGCCGUGAGGUGUUGGGUUAAGUCCCGCAACGAGCGCAACCCUUGUCCUUAGUUGCCUUCUCUAAGGAGACCGCCGGUCUAAACCGGAGGAAGGUGGGGAUGACGUCAAGUCAGCACGGCUCUUACGUCGAGGGCUACACACACGCUACAAUGGCCGGUACAACGGGCUGCCAAGCCGCGAGGCGGAGCUAAUCCCACCAAAGCCGGUCUCAGUUCGGAUCGCAGGCUGCAACUCGCCUGCGUGAAGUCGGAGUUGCUAGUAACCGCUGGUCAGCACACAGCGGUGAAUACGUUCCCGGGCCUUGUACACACCGCCCGU